rnacentral:lncRNA from 7 species
ACACGUGGUUGCGCGCUCCGGCAAGGGUCAACACAACUAUGCGUUAUUCGAGCUCAGCCCGACAUAUCUUUUGAGUGAAUCGGAUCCAAAUGACCUAAAUCGCCCCAGACAACAGCGAUGGCAGAGACCUGAGCUCCGAUGACAUAGACCGGAGUUUUUAACGCAGUAGCGUUCAACCCCAGGCUAUGGAAAGCUUUAGCAAUCUGUCAAGCAUAUGAUGCUCACCUUGGUUGGGUUAGGGAGGAUCAGAUUCAAUCGGUCGACAUGGAAGGUGUCCUCGGCGGCGUUCACCGGAUGGCUUUAUGGUGUUCCGGUGAAACUACUGUCGUAGAGUUCAAAAGGAAGAUUUUGUGAGCAACACUAUGACCCUAUGUCCUGAAACGUGAGCACAUUGAACAUGUUACCUUCCCAAAAAGGUUGUCCACGGGGAGAUGGGAGAUUUGGUGGUGAUGGUCACCACUGUUAGUGUCUGCACGGCAUUCUGGCCUCCUCAUCGAAACAGAGAGGUAGAGAGGGCUUGAGGGUUUGUCUUAGAUGCUGAGGGAUGGCAUGACAUAGUGAGCAGGCCAAGAGCUCAAUUGGAAUAUAUAUACAGAUUCAGAUUCCUUCUCUUAUCACCUCUUUCUUUAACUAGGGUCAAAUACAUGAGCUGCACUGGUUGGGGUUACACUGGGGGCUUUCACCGUGGCCAACUGGGGUUAAAUUGUUCCUCUAUAUCAACUGCAGGCUUCCCACACAGAGCCAAGCAUAGAGGAAACUUUACUUCUGCUUUUGUUG